rnacentral:rRNA from 1 species
GAUGAACGCUGACAGAAUGCUUAACACAUGCAAGUCAACUUGAAUUUGGGUUUUUAACUUAGAUUUGGGUGGCGGACGGGUGAGUAACGCGUAAAGAACUUGCCUCACAGCUAGGGACAACAUUUAGAAAUGAAUGCUAAUACCUGAUAUUAUGGUUAUAGGGCAUCCUAUAAUUAUGAAAGCUAUAUGCACUGUGAGAGAGCUAUGCGUCCCAUUAGCUAGUUGGAGAGGUAACAGCUCACCAAGGCGAUGAUGGGUAGCCGGCCUGAGAGGGUGAACGGCCACAAGGGGACUGAGACACGGCCCUUACUCCUACGGGAGGCAGCAGUGGGGAAUAUUGGACAAUGGACCGAGAGUCUGAUCCAGCAAUUCUGUGUGCACGAUGAAGUUUUUCGGAAUGUAAAGUGCUUUCAGUUGGGAAGAAAAAAAUGACGGUACCAACAGAAGAAGUGACGGCUAAAUACGUGCCAGCAGCCGCGGUAAUACGUAUGUCACGAGCGUUAUCCGGAUUUAUUGGGCGUAAAGCGCGUCUAGGUGGUUAUGUAAGUCUGAUGUGAAAAUGCAGGGCUCAACUCUGUAUUGCGUUGGAAACUGUAUAACUAGAGUACUGGAGAGGUAAGCGGAACUACAAGUGUAGAGGUGAAAUUCGUAGAUAUUUGUAGGAAUGCCGAUGGGGAAGCCAGCUUACUGGACAGAUACUGACGCUAAAGCGCGAAAGCGUGGGUAGCAAACAGG